rnacentral:misc_RNA from 1 species
UGCAGAUGAUUGGGCUACAAGAGGAGGACUUGUUAAGACUGAUUGGAGCCAAGCACCCUUUAGUGCUUCUUACAGAAACUUCAGUGCUAAUGCUUGCAUUCCCACUUCUUCAUCUUCUUGCAGUUCCAUUUCUGCAACUUCAACAAGCAAUUCAUGGUUGAAUGAAGAGUUAGAUAACACAAGCCAAGAGAGGCUCAAAUGGGUGCAGAAGAAUUACAUGGUUUAUGAUUACUGCACUGAUUCAAAGCGAUUUCCACAGGGAUUUCCAGCAGAUUGUGUUCAGAAUAUCUGAGCAUUAAUAAUGAAAAAAUAGUGUAUUACUUUAAAAACUAUUGUAUUGAUUCUUUUAUUGUUUUGUACCCAUCAGAAGAAGAUGCAAUAAUUAUUGAGGAUUAGAAACAUCUUAGUUUUGUACUAAGUUA